rnacentral:ncRNA from 12 species
GCAUCACAGGUCUGUGGCUGAAAGUCGAUGGCAGUCGCAGCCAAAACGAUCCACGUAACGCAGUCAAAAGGGCUGCUGAGCAUGGUGCGGUUUAGAAGUAAGUCCUGCCGGGAAAACCGAGAGAGUGAGUUGUGAGAGGCAAGCGCCGGGUAGCUAAAGCUCCAGCAGGCGAGUGUGGGGUCAAAAGCCAGGUCAGCUGUAGAUGC